rnacentral:rRNA from 1 species
UACGUAGGGUGCGAGCGUUAAUCGGAAUUACUGGGCGUAAAGCGUGCGCAGGCGGUUAUGUAAGACAGAUGUGAAAUGCCCGGGCUUAACCUGGGAACUGCAUUUGUGACUGCAUGGCUAGAGUUUGGCAGAGGGGGGGGUAGAAUUCCACGUGUAGCAGUGAAAUGCGUAGAUAUGUGGAGGAACACCGAUGGCGAAGGCAGCCCCCUGGGUCAAGACUGACGCUCAUGCACGAAAGCGUGGGGAGCAAACAGG